GGCAAGCAUGCGGGACCCGAAGGCGACUGCGGGGGUGGGGGUGAACCCCCUGCCGCCCCCGCCCCCCAGGACCUGUGCGGCGGGGGGCGGGGGGAGAAUGUUGCAGGGAGAGCAGGGAAGGGAGCACUGUGGAGGCGAGCUUCGAGGCCUCGGCAGGACCUCCGACUCAGUUUACCCCUGGUGCCUCCUGAACCGCGUCGCCUUCCUCGGCUUCAGGUUUUGUGCAGUUAGGCCCAGUGAACGACCCCCAGAGCCCGCACUUAACAGAAUACAAGGGUCAACGGGCCGCGCCUUCGGAGAACACUCUUGUACGCGCAUCUCUGUGCACCUGUCCUCCGCGAUGACGCCCCAGAACUGGAACUUACGCCCCCACCUACGGUGUAGAGCGGUCCGCCUACUUCUGCACACAUUUGCCAACGUUUACGUGAAGUGUUUACAAAUCUGAUGGGAGACUCUUCAGUCUGCAAAGGACCAGGAAGACAGAAGAGGUGUAAGCUGCCUCCAAAUAUCGAAACAGUUACCACACAGAAGAUGCGGAAUCUUUGAGCCUACAACUGCGGCUAUGGGAGGAAAGCCACAGAGUCAACGUGAAGACCUCACGACGAGGGGCGCCCGGCGGGCUCAGUCGAGUGGGCACCUGACUCUUGUUUUCAGCUCGGGUCAUGAUCUCCUGGUCUCGUCGGAUCGAGCCCCGUGUCGGGCUCUACGCGGACAGCGUGGGAUUCAUUCUCUCCCUCUCUCUCUGUUCCUCCACUGCUCGUACACUCUCAGUCUCUCUCAAAGUAAAUAAACUUAAAAAAAAAACAAAACUCAUAAUGAGUUGGCUGUCUUCCUCUCCCAUGGUGGGACGUCUUCUUCUGUCCCUGUGUGGACAGCUCACUACCCGCCAUGUUCUCUGUGCUCUUCUGAUGUUCCACGGGCCUUCUGGUUGGCCGUCUCUUAAUUUUUCUCUCGUGUUUUCCAUCUCUGUUUUUCUUUUUUAAAUAUUUAUUUCAUCUCUACAUAAUCUCUACGCCCGACACGGGGCCUGACCUCGAGUCAAGAGUCACGUGCUCCACCGACUGAGCCAGCCAGGCGCCCCUGCACCUCUAUUUUUCAAUCACACACUGUGGGAGAGUUCAACUUUUUCUUCUUAACGGUCUAUUGAAAAUAUUUAAAAUUCUUUUUGGAACAGAAAAUAACUUUGCAAGUCUGUGUAUGUAACGGGAUGUAUCAACUGUUAGAUUGUACGUCAGGCUGAGGGCUCCCUGACUGCCAGAAUGAGACCUUUCAGUUACAACUUCAUGCUAUAUAAAACCCAGCAUUUCUUUUCAAGUUUAUUUUGAGAGAGAGAGAGAGAGAAGAGAGAGAGAGAGAGAGAGAGAGAGAAUGAAUAUAUGAGAGUGGGGGAGGGACAGAGAGGGAGACUCCCAAGCAGGCUCUGUGCUGAUAGCUGGGGGGCUCAAUCUCACAGUUCGCGAGAAGGUUCAAUUUAAUUUGUAAUAGCUAAAAAAUGUAAACUAUCCAAACACCCCUCAACAGGCAAAUGGAGAAACAAUUGUGCUGUAUCUACACAGUGAGAUCCUACUUAGCAAUAAAAAGAGUUACGGAAUGUUGCACGAACUAUGGAACACACAACCAGGUGGAUGAAUCAAGAUCAUUACAUCCAAUGAAAGACGCCAGGCAAAAAAAAAAAAAAAAAAAAGAAAA